GAUGAACGCUGGCGGCGUGCCUAAUACAUGCAAGUCGAGCGAACAGACGAGGAGCUUGCUCCUCUGACGUUAGCGGCGGACGGGUGAGUAACACGUGGAUAACCUACCUAUAAGACUGGGAUAACUUCGGGAAACCGGAGCUAAUACCGGAUAAUAUAUUGAACCGCAUGGUUCAAUAGUGAAAGACGGUUUUGCUGUCACUUAUAGAUGGAUCCGCGCCGCAUUAGCUAGUUGGUAAGGUAACGGCCUACCAAGGCAACGAUGCGUAGCCGACCUGAGAGGGUGGUCUGCCACACUGGAACUGAGACACGGUCCAGACUCCUACGGGAGGCAGCAAUGGGGAAUCUUCCGCAAUGGGCGAAAGCCUGACGGAGCAACGCCGCGUGAGUGAUGAAGGUCUUCGGAUCGUAAAACUCUGUUAUUAGGGAAGAACAAAUGUGUAAGUAACUAUGCACGUCUUGACGGUACCUAAUCAGAAAGCCACGGCUAACUACGUG
rnacentral:rRNA from 1 species